rnacentral:misc_RNA from 1 species
GAAAUGCGAUAAGUAGUGUGAAUUACAGAAUUCAGUGAAUCAUCGAAUCUUUGAACGCACAUUGCGCCCCUUGGUGUUCCAUGAGGCAUGCCUGUUCGAGCGUCAUUUGUACCUUCAAGCUCUGCUUGGUGUUGGGUGUUUUGUCUCGCCUCUGCGUGUAGACUCGCCUUAAAACAAUUGGCAGCCGGCGUAUUGACUUCGGAGCGCAGUACAUCUCGCGCUUUGCACUCAUAGCGGCGACGUCCAAACGUACAUUUUUACACUCUUGACCUCGGAUCAGGUAGGGAUACCCGCUGAACUUAA